rnacentral:rRNA from 1 species
AGUCAUAUGCUUGUCUCAAAGAUUAAGCCAUGCACGUCUCAGUGCAAGCCAAAUUAAGGUGAAACCGCGUAAGGCUCAUUAAACCAGUCGUUGUUCAUUGGAUGGUACCCAGUUACAUGGAUAACUGUGGAAAUGCUAGAGCUAAUACAUGCAAAUAGAGUCCCCACCAUUAAUUUGGGAGGGAUGCUUUUAUUAGAUCAAAACCAAUCGGAUCGCAAGGUCUGUUGUUUUUGGUGACUCUGAAUAACUUUGUGCUGAUCGCAUGGUCUUGUACCGGCGACGCAUCCUUCAAAUGUCUGACUUAUCAACUUUCGAUGGUAGGUUCUGCGCCUACCACGGUUAUAACGGGUAACGGGGAAUCAGGGUUCGAUUCCGGAGAGGGAGCCUGAGAAACGGCUACCACAUCCAAGGAAGGCAGCAGGCGCGCAAAUUACCCACUCCCAGCACGGGGAGGUAGUGACGAAAAAUAACGAUGCAGAACUCAUUCCGAGGCUCUGCAAUCGGAAUGAGAACACUCUAAAUCAUUUAACGAGUAUCCAUUGGAGGACAAGUCUGGUGCCAGCACCCGCGGUAAUUCCAGCUCCAAUAGCGUAUAUUAAAGUUGUUGCGGUUAAAAAGCUCGUAGUUGGAUCUGUGUUUCACGCUGACGGUUCACCGUUUUGUCGGUGUUUAACUGUCAUGUCGUGGUACGUCCUGCCGGUUGGCAUGUUUGUUGACGUAAGUUGAUGGCUGCCAGUUCCAAUCCUGUCGCGGUGCUCUUUACCGAGUGUCGAGGCGGGCCGGCACGUUUACCUUGAACAAAUUUGAGUGCUUAAAGCAGGCUAUAAUUGCCGGAAAACUGUGUGCAUGGAAUAAUAUAAUAGGACCGCGGUUCUAUUUUGUUGGUUUUCAGAGUCUGAGGUAAUGAUUAAUAGGGCCCGGCGGGGGCAUUAGUAUUGCGACGUUAGAGGUGAAAUUCUUGGAUCGUCGCAAGACUGACCUAAGCGAAAGCAUUUGCCAAGGAUGCUUCCAUUAAUCAAGAACGAAAGUUAGAGGUUCGAAGGCGAUCAGAUACCGCCCUAGUUCUAACCAUAAACGAUGCCAGCCAACGAUCCGUCGCAGUUCCUCCGAUGACUCGACGGGCAGCUUCCGGGAAACUAAAGCAUUUGGGUUCCGGGGGAAGUAUGGUUGCAAAGCUGAAACUUAAAGGAAUUGACGGAAAGGCACCACCAGGAGUGGAGCCUGCGGCUUAAUUUGACUCAACACGGGAAAUCUCACCAGGCCAGAACACUAGAUGGAUUGACAGAUUGAGAGCUCUUUCUUGAUUUAGUGGGUGGUGGUGCAUGGCCGUUCUUAGUUGGUGGAGCGAUUUGUCUGGUUAAUUCCGAUAACGAACGAGACUCCAGCCUACUAAAUAGACGGAUAUUUAUUCCGGUAUCUCUGCUACCGGCGGAUUUAUUUCUUCUUAGAGGGACAGGCGGCUUUUAGCCGCACGAGACGGAGCAAUAACAGGUCUGUAAUGCCCUUAGAUGUUCUGGGCAGCACGCGCGCAACACUGAAGGAAUCAACGUGUGAUAUAACCUAGGCCGAAAGGUCCGGGUAACCCGUUGAACCUCCUUCGUGCUAGGGAUUGGGGCUUGAAAUUAUUCCCCAUGAACGAGGAAUUCCUAGUAAGUGCGAGUCAUAAGCUCGUGUUGAUUAAGUCCCUGCCUUUUGUGCACACCGCCCGUCGCUACUACCGAUUGAACGAUUUAGUGAGGUCUUCGGACCUGUUCGCGAGACUCACUAUUAUGGUGAAUCUCGAUGUUUUCGGGGAAGACGACCAAACUUGAUCGUUUAGAGGAAGUAAAAGUCGUAACAAGGUUUUCGUA